GUAUGAGGGGUCUUCGGUCCAGAAUGGGGGGUUUGGGGGGGGAAAUGGGGGGUCUUUGGUCCAAAAUGGGGGGGCUUGGGGGGGGGAAAUGGUAGUUUUUGGGGGGGAAAUGGUGGUUUUGGGGGGAAAUGGGGGGUCUUGGGGGGGGGAAAUGGGGGUCUUUGGUCCAAAAUGAGGGGUUUGGGGGGGGAAAUGGGGAUUUUUGGGGGGAAAUGGGGGGAUCUGUAUAGAGAAUUAAAGGGAUUUGGGGUGAAAUGAGGGGAUUUGGGGUGAACUAGAAGGAUUUUGGGGGGAAAUGAGGAGAUUUGUGGUGAAGUAAAUGGAUUUUGGGGUGAAAUGAGGGGAUUUGGGGUGAAAGAAAUGGAUUUUGGGGGGAAAUGAGGGGAUUUGGGGUGAAAGAAAUGGAUUUUGGGGGUGAAAUGUGGGGAUCUGGAGAGAAUUAAAGGGAUUUGGGGUGAAAUGAAGGGAUUUGGGGUGAAAAAAUGGAUUAUAGGGGGGAAAUGAGGGGAUCUGGGGUGAAAUAAAGGGAUUUUGGGGUGAAAUGAGGGGAUUUUGGGUGAAUAAAUGGAUUUUGGGGUGAAAUGAGGGGAUUUGGGGUGAAAUAAAGGGAUUUCGGGGGGAAAUGAGGAGGUUUGGGGUGGAAUGAAGAGGUAUUGGGGUGAACCCAGGGGAUUUGGGGUGAAAUAAAGGGAUUUUUGGGGUGAAAUGAGGGGACCUGGAGAGAAUUAAAGGAAUUUUUGGGGUGAAAUGAGGGGAUUGGGGGUGAAGUAAAUGGAUUUUUGGGGUAAAUGAUGGGAUUUGGGGUGAAAUAAAUGGAUUUUAAGGGUAAAAUGAGAGGAUUUGGGGUGAAAUAAAGGGAUUUUAAGGAUGAAAUGAGGGGAUUUGGGGUGGUAUGAAGAGGUUUUGGGGUGAACCCAGGGGAUUUGAGGUGAAAUAAACAGAUUUAUGGGGUGAAAUGAGGGAAUUUGGGGUGAAAUAAAGGGAUUUUUGGUGUGAAAUGAAGGGAUUUGGGGUGAAGUAAAUGGAUUUUUGGGCUGAAAUGGUGAGAUUUGGGGUGAAGUAAAUGGAUUUUUGGGGUAAAUGAUGGGAUUUGGGGUGAAAUAAAUGGAUUUUAAGGGUAAAAUGAGAGGAUUUGGGGUGAAAUAAAGGGAUUUUAAGGAUGAAAUGAGGGGAUUUGGGGUGGUAUGAAGAGGUUUUGGGGUGAAAUAAAGGGAUUUUGGGGGUGAAAUGAGGGCACCUGGAAAGAAUUAAAGGGAUUUGGGGUAAAAUGAGGGGAUGUGGGGUGAAAUAAAGGGACUUAUGGGGUGAAAUGAGGGGAUUUUAGGGGGAAACGGACCCAAUUUGGGUCGAAACGAUUGGAAUUUGGGGCAACGAAGCGGCACUGAAAGGUGUUGAAGGCAUUUUGGGGGGGAAUAAUGCGAUUUUGGGGCGGAAAAAUGCGAUUUUUUGGGAAAAAAGUGGGGAGAAUUUGGGACGCAAGGAAUGCACUGAGGGAUACGGAGAGCUUUUUGGGGUGAAAUACGUGGAUUUUGGGGACAGAACACAGGCUUGGGGGCUGGGCGGGACGUUUUGGGGUAGAAAAACGGGUUUUUGGGAAGGAAAAGUGCGCCUGAGGGCUGAAAUCGAAGGAUUUCAAGCCGGGAAGGGCGGAUUUUGGGGCGAAAAAGUGCGGUUUUGGGGCUCUUUCCCCUCCUUUCGGAUAGACCGGAAGUGGGGGCCGGAAGGGGCGGGGCUUUGCGUGGCCACGCCCCCUCCGUAAGGCCCCGCCCGC
ensembl:lncRNA